ACUGUCACAAACAGAGCCCCAGCUGGUGACUCCAGAUCUGGAGUGUAAUUUGACUCAUUUGAGAGUUUAGAAGCAGCCAGAGCCCUCCCCCUACAGCUCCCCUGGGGGGGAGGGGCAUGAGACAGGUCACUUUGCCCAAAUGACAAGUUGGUGAUGACCUGGGACUCUGUUGUGAUGCAGUGAUUGUUGGGUCAGCCCCCAGAGGUCGCAGCAUUUCACACCAGGCUGUUGCCCAGAGCACAUGGCUGCUGCCUGUGGGUCUGAGUACAGGGACCAGGGUGAUGGAGCAGGGCCUUUGGGACCAACCUGCUUCCAUUGCUAAAGGGAACGUGAGACACAGAAGGAUGAAGGAAAGUAUUCUUGUCCAACUGCAACGUAAUCUCUUAUUUCUGUUGAUUUGAUCACUGCAGCUUGUCUGUCAGAAGUAGUAAGAGAACCUGUUCCUAUCAAGAGGUAAGGAAUGCACCUUCUCCUAGCAAUGGAGUGGAAACUAACCAAUCUCAGUGUACUUUCAGGUGAAGGAAGUGAAUCUAGCCUUUGCUGUCAAAGGCUAUAAGCAGUUUCAUAAGAAGAAAGCAAGAUACAUAACCAAAGCUUCUGAGGUUACAGAAGUAUUGACUUGCACUAGCCAAGAAUAAGGAAAGCACUUAUACCUACUAGAUUAACAGUACAGCUGAUUGUAUGGAGAGAAAGAGAGAAACCAAUCCAGCAAUUCACCACACAGAAGGUGGUCAUAUUUCAAGAUGCAAGGAUGACACAUGGCUGUAGUUUACAGGAAGGAAUUAGCUGAUCCAUCCUUUUAAGGAGAUGUCAAGAAAUAAGCGGAACUGAUCAUUUCUAUCAAGAGGUAAGGAACGCACCUCCUCACAGCAUGGAGGCAGGAAUGAAAGGCUCUGUUUCUAUUUUCAGGUGAAAGGAAGGUCUUACCAUUCAAGGGAGGAUGAGAGGCUGCUGAAUUUAAGAAAAAAAAGUCAGACAGGUAACAAUACUUGGCCAGAGGGAAGAGCAUUUUACUUCUAGUUCAGAAAAAGGCAAGCAGCCAUUUAUAAGCUUCAGGUUUUAACCAGUGUAGCUGGCUGUACCGCUAAGAAUCAAAGCCUUGCAGUGGAACAUGACUGACAAGGAGGUGAGCACUGAAAGGUCUCUAGAAGCCUAAUGAUCUGGAUGCUAAGGAACCUUCUCCACUGAUGACUCUUCAUAGCUGGUAAUAAGUAGUAAUAAAUAAUUCUGUCAAACAUUGAUUGCAGGUUUUGCUCUUCUGAGAUAUGAAGAGACCAGGUGGUCAUUCCUACCAGGGAGAAGUGAGGCUUAGUGGCAUGGCUGUCCCGGGCAAGGAGACAAAAAAAAGCCACUUCAACUAGUUCAGCUAGUCGCAAAUCUGAAUCAAGUCAGAACAUAAGACAUGGAGAUGAGAGAAAUGCAGAUGAUUUGAACGUUGAGAGUGUGAAAUCUUCAGGAAGUUGCUAGAAGAUCUGGGAUAUCUACAGAAAGGAAACAAGCAAAACUCGUCACUGCUACCAAGAGGAGGAGAGUUACAGAUGCUCAGGAUUUGAGUACAAAGGAAUAGGAAUGGAGCUGAACAGAUUCAACACCUGAAAGGACGAUUGGAUCUCAAAAUAUGAAAGUCCCUUCAUUCAAUAAAGCAACAGGACUGGCUCUGAGGAGAGGUAAGCAGCAUUUGGUAAGUCUAAGAAAUGAGCAUAGCAAUUUUAUAGUGCUGAUUGUAACUUAUGUUGUGCCAAAGGGUUUGUUACAGCUGAUCACACAUCUCAGGAGCUAAGAGGAUGUGAGGGGGAUGGCAGAUGUCAGGGGAUUCAUCUUUAUUAGGAGGUGGUGAACCUGCUUGUCACUUCUGAGUGACAUCAGUGGCUUUGGUUUUGCUUGAUGAAGGAAAGAGCCAGCGUGGACAAUAUUCAAGACACACUAUUCAAAAGUUGCUGCUGGGAUGGAUGUAAAGAAGAAAGCCCUGGAGACGGGUUAGUGCUGGGACACAGACACUAUCCUGGAGGGGCCUGGGACAGGGUGUGUAACCAUAGCGACCAGUGGGUCCUUUCCCCACUGUGGUCCUGGCUCGCAUGCACAGGGUGAAACCGAUCGCCAUGUUUGGGGUCAGGAAGGAAUUUUCCUCCAGGGCAGAUUGGCCAGAGACCCUGGAGGUUUUUCGCCUUCCUCUGGGGCAUCGAGCAGGGACCAGCCCUUAGGGCCAUUUAGGAACAGACACAAUAAAAUCCAUCAGAGAGA